UACGUAGGGGGCAAGCGUUGUCCGGAAUCAUUGGGCGUAAAGCGCGCGUAGGCGGCCCGGUAAGUCCGCUCUGAAAGUCCAGGGCUUAACCCUGGAAAGCGGGUGGAUACUGCCGGGCUUGAAUCCGGAAGAGGCGAGUGGAAUUCCUGGUGUAGCGGUGAAAUGCGCAGAUAUCAGGAGGAACACAUAUUGCGAAGGCAGCUAGCUGGGACGUUACUGACGCUGAGACGCGAAAGCGUGGGGAGCAAACAGG
rnacentral:rRNA from 1 species